rnacentral:ncRNA from 1 species
CGGGGACUUUGCAGCCUCCCCGUAUCCAGACGCAAUGCGUCCAAGGCCUGC